CACGUAGGGUGCGAGCGUUGUCCGGAAUUAUUGGGCGUAAAGAGCUCGUAGGCGGUGUGUCGCGUCGGCCGUGAAAACCUGCAGCUUAACUGUGGGCUUGCGGUCGAUACGGGCAUCACUGGAGUUCGGCAGGGAGACUGGAAUUCCUGGGUGAUAGCGGUGAAAUGCGCAGAUAUCAGGAGGAACACCGGUGGCGAAGGCGGCACGCUGGACCGUCUUCUG
rnacentral:rRNA from 1 species